UACAGAGGUCUCGAGCGUUGUUCGGAUUCAUUGGGCGUAAAGGGUGCGUAGGCGGUGGACUAAGUUUGGUGUGAAAUCCUAGGGCUUAACCCUAGAAUUGCACUGAAUACUGGUUUGCUAGAGGACUGGAGAGGAGAUUGGAAUUCACGGUGUAGCAGUGAAAUGCGUAGAUAUCGUGAGGAAGACCAGUGGCGAAGGCGAAUCUCUGGACAGAUCCUGACGCUGAGGCACGAAGGCCAGGGGAGCAAACGGG
rnacentral:rRNA from 1 species